GAUGAACGCUGGCGGCGUGCCUAAUACAUGCAAGUCGAGCGGUAAGGCCCCUUCGGGGGUACACGAGCGGCGGACGGCUGAGUAACACGUAGGAACGUACCCCAAACUGAGGGAUAAGCACCAGAAAUGGUGUCUAAUACCGCAUGUGCUCUUCGGAGUAAAGCUACGGCGGUUUGGGAACGGCCUGCGUCUGAUUAGAUAGUUGGUGAGGUAAUGGCUCACCAAGUCGACGAUCAGUAGCUGGUCUGAGAGGAUGAUCAGCCAGACUGGGACUGAGAACGGCCCAGACUCCUACGGGAGGCAGCAGUAGGGAAUUUUCCACAAUGGACGAAAGUCUGAUGGAGCAACGCCGCGUGCAGGAUGAAUGCCUUCGGGUUGUAAACUGCUUUUAUCUGUGACGAUUAUGACGGUAGCAGAUGAAUAAGGAUCGGCUAACUCCGUGCCAGCAGCCGCAGACA
rnacentral:rRNA from 1 species